rnacentral:rRNA from 1 species
GAUGAACGCUGGCGGCGUGCCUAAUACAUGCAAGUAGAACGCUGAGGGCGUACCUUUCUCUUCUGGAUGAGUUGCGAACGGGUGAGUAACGCGUAGGUAACCUGCCCGUUAGCGGGGGAUAACUAUUGGAAACGAUAGCUAAUACCGCAUGACAACAGUUACUGCAUGAUAACUGUUUAAAAGGUGCAACUGUUCCACUACCAGUUGGACCUGCGUUGUAUUAGCUAGUUGUUGUGGUAACGGCUCACCAAGGCGACGAUACAUAGCAGACCUGAGAGGGUGAGCGGGCACACUGGGACUGAGACACGGCCCAGACUCCAACGGGAGGCAGCAGUAGGAAAGGUUGGGCAAUGGACGGAAGUCUGACCGAGGAACGACGCGUGAGUGAAGAAGGUUGGCUGAGGGUAAAGCUCUGUUGUGAGAGAAGAACGUGUGUGAGGGGGGAAAGUUCACGCUGUGACGGUAUGUUACCAGAAAGGGACGGAUAACUAC